UGUCCAGCCAGCCCAGCCAGGGAACUUUCGGGUAAGGAGGGCCCUGGCAGCUGCCUGGACCACUUGUCCUGAGGAUCCGCAUCCUCCCCACAAAGUUCCCUGAAACAGCACCAGCCGCCCCAGGGCUCAGCAGCGGGAGCAAGGACUCAAAGCUGGGGAGCCACAUGGACUCCAUAGGGACUAAUCAAGCUUCCGCUCACUGCUGUCUGUGGUUUCACAGUGGCUUCCGAAUGAGUGUGUGUUGCUCUGUGAAGAAGCAGGGAAGGAUGAUGACCCCUGAGUGUGAGCCAUGUGUGCCACUGCACCCGGGAAAA